ensembl:snRNA U6 U6 spliceosomal RNA
GGUCGCUUCAGCAGCCAUAUACUAAAAUUGGAACAAUAUAGAGAAGAUUAGCAUGCACAAGGAUGACAUGCAAAUCCGUGAAGCAUUCCAUUUUUUU